UACGGAGGGUGCAAGCGUUAAUCGGAAUUACUGGGCGUAAAGCGUGCGUAGGCGGUUCGUUAAGUCUGUUGUGAAAGCCCCGGGCUCAACCUGGGAAUGGCAAUGGAUACUGGCGAGCUAGAGUGUGUCAGAGGAUGGUGGAAUUCCCGGUGUAGCGGUGAAAUGCGUAGAGAUCGGGAGGAACAUCAGUGGCGAAGGCGGCCAUCUGGGACAACACUGACGCUGAGGCACGAA
rnacentral:rRNA from 1 species